GCAUUUCAGAGAUGUUUGCAGCAGCCC
rnacentral:piRNA from 1 species